GACCGCGUAGCUCAGCAGUUGGAAGAGCAUUGGGCUAGUAUUCCAAAGGUCGUAGGUUCGAAUCCCACCGUGGCCG